AAUAAAUAAAGGAGAGCAAAUUGAAGGAAAGGUCCAUGUACAGAACUGCAACCUCACUGCAACAUCCUCCUGGUGCUGGCAGUUCAUAGUGCACACCGAAUCUGAGACAAUGGAUCUGGCUUGAAUCAAGUUGACGCAGACUCUGCCUAGCCCUGGAGUUGGCUCCUGUUGCUCCUCAAACACAAAAUCCUCCUCAGUAUAGGGUAUUCCAGUUGCAUCCAGAAGAAUCAACUAUGUCCUUGAGAUAAGACAACACUGGAGAAUGUAUCUGUUCCAGAAACUGGACUCCAUAAGAUGACACUGGUGUGGGAAAAUAAACCUCUCCAACAGGAUGGCCGGCUGUUCCGCAAAUGGUGGUGGGAGCCUCCACUGCAAUGGCCCUUGCAAUAGCAUCUUCAGCUGGAUCAGG